UGGGGAAUAUUGGACAAUGGGGGCAACCCUGAUCCAGCAACGCCGCGUGAAUGAUGAAGGCCUUCGGGUCGUAAAGUUCUUUUAGCAGGGAAGAAAAUGACGGUACCUGCAGAAUAAGCACCGGCUAACUUCGUGCCAGCAGCCGCGGUAAUACGAAGGGUGCUAGCGUUGUUCGGAAUUACUGGGCGUAAAGCGUGCGUAGGUUGUUUGGUUAGUUAGUGGUGAAAGCCCAGAGCUUAACUCUGGAAUUGCCAUUAAAACUGCCAAGCUAGAGAGUGUUAGAGGUGAGUGGAAUUUCUAGUGUAGGAGUGAAAUCCGUAGAUAUUAGAAGGAACAUCAAUGGCGAAGGCAGCUCACUGGGUCACAUCUGACACUGAGGCACGAAAGCGUGGGUAGCAAACAG
rnacentral:rRNA from 1 species